AAAGCCAAAUCAAUGUUUAACUGGGAGGGGCCAUCCUCAUUUGCACAAUGUGUGUUACCCUACUGUGUCUAUAUUUUCUUAGAGUUUGAGUAAAACAGAUAAGGGAUAGCAGACAACAGAGACGGAGGUGCAAAGGGAGUCCAGCACAAAGAUAAGAAGAGAAUUUUGUAAACUAAGAGAAUUAGGACUAAGAGAAGCACAGUGAUCUGACAAGAAAAUAGAGUCUUAAAGCCGUGAUUGUCAGUGACACGAUGAGCGGAGGAUGUAGAUGUGUACUUGCAGCAGUGGUGCUGUUGUGCCUUUGUCUCUUGGUUUCCACUGAGGCUGUGGGAGGAGCCAAGAGUCGACCAAAACCUCAAAGACGACCACCGAAGAAACCAAAGGUCGAGCCCAUUGACUCAACCCCACCAACUCAGAAUAUAGACAUCCAGCAAAUUACAGGGAAAUGGUAUCUCCUUAAUACGGCCUCCAAGUGUUCUUACCUGAUAAAACAUGGAACAAAGGUGGAGCCAACUGUCAUGACCCUUACAGGUCCCUCCGACCAAACUCUGUCAGUUAGCACUAAAACAAGACAUAAUCAUCAAUGUUGGGAGAUAUUGCAGGAAUACCACUUAACUUCCACCCCAGGGAAGCUAACACUAAAAGGAACACGUCCUGAACUCAACACCGACAUUGUGAUUGGAGAAACAGACUACACCACCUAUGCAGUCUUGUACUAUCAGAAACUCGGGAAGGUCACAGUAAAACUCUAUAGCAGGUCUGUGGAUGACCUAUCUGAGCCAAUGUUGACUAAGUUUGAACAGCUCGCUGACAAACAUGGCAUGGGUCUUGCCUACCUCUUCCCCUUCCCCACCUACAGUCACUGUGGUGAAGUGGAUCAGGACCACAAAAUAAACUGUGUCCCCACAUGCUGAAGAGGCGGAGCUCCGACAUCCAUGCAAGAAAGUUGAUUGAACUGAACUUAUGAAUUCCCUUUACAUUUGCGGUUUCAUCAGCCUUCGAGGUCUGUGACUUUAUUCAAACUUCUUGGCGUGUCAGUGAGAAACCAGGGAUAAUAAGGCCCAGGUUGGAAUCCCCUAAGGGGAUCAGAGGGUUUGGUUUCAAUUUGUGGUCUAAAAUUUUCUUACCCAUUCUCCUCCCUCCACCCUGUGUUUGCGUGUGAGAGUUACAUAACCAGCUGAUUGUAAGUUGUUGCCUCCUUACAAAAGGGGGUCUGAUUCAGCAAAUUUCAGCGAUUGAAGCCUUGACAGCUAGUCUGCAUUUAAUGGAUAACUGCAGGAAAAUAAAGAACAGUCGUUGUUUUAGCUGUUUUUGUCUUUAAAUGAACAUUCAUUCAAUUCAGAAUAUGACUUGGAGUGUAAUUUGAAAAAGUAACUCUUGAAAUAAGAUUAAUGAUUGCAAAUAUGUCUAACCACUAUAUGCAAUGCUUUAAAUGCAACGUAUAAAAGCAAAACAAUGACGCUUCCAUUGUGGAACCUACUGGGUACUGCUUCACUUUGUGCUGUUUGAUCCCGAUAAUUGGCAUCCAGAG